rnacentral:rRNA from 1 species
GACGAACGCUGGCGGCGUGCUUAACACAUGCAAGUCGAACGGAAAGGCCCUGCUUUUGUGGGGUGCUCGAGUGGCGAACGGGUGAGUAACACGUGAGUAACCUGCCCUUUACUUUGGGAUAACUUCAGGAAACUGGGGCUAAUACCGGAUAGGAGCUCCUGCUGCAUGGUGGGGGUUGGAAAGUUUCGGCGGUUGGGGAUGGACUCGCGGCUUAUCAGCUUGUUGGUGGGGUAGUGGCUUACCAAGGCUUUGACGGGUAGCCGGCCUGAGAGGGUGACCGGCCACAUUGGGACUGAGAUACGGACCAGACUCCUACGGGAGGCAGCAGUGGGGAAUAUUGCACAAUGGGCGGAAGCCUGAUGCAGCAACGCCGCGUGCGGGAUGACGGCCUUCGGGUUGUAAACCGCUUUCGCAUGUGACGAAGCGUGAGUGACGGUAAUGGGUAAAGAAGCACCGGCUAACUACGUG